rnacentral:rRNA from 1 species
UACAUGUGGGGCAAGCGUUGUUCGGAAUUACUGGGCAUAAAGGGCGCGUAGGCGGGCUGCCAAGUCCGGGGUGAAAUCCUCUGGCCCAACCAGAGAACGGCCUCGGAUACUGGCGGUCUGGAGGGGGGUAGGGGCACGCGGAACUGUGGGUGGAGCGGUGAAAUGCGUUGAGAUCCACAGGAACUCCGGUGGCGAAGGCGGCGUGCUGGACCCCACCUGACGCUGAGGCGCGAAAGCCAGGGGAGCGAACGGG